GUCAACUUCCGGUAUAAUUUUAGAAUUGAUUGAACCUAUAAAUAAGCAUAAAUGCUCAGCUACUAUUUAAAGUAAAACUUUAUCGUUUACUUAAUAUAGUUGUAUUUUCUUAACGGAACAGAUGCCCGGAGAAAUUAUCCAUCUCAAUGUUGGUGGCAAAAGGUUUUCUACAUCCAAACAAACACUGACAUGGAUACCAGAGUCAUUUUUUACAAGUUUGCUAAGUGGAAGAAUAUCAAGCCUCAAAGAUGACAAAGGAGCUAUAUUUAUUGACAGGGAUCCUGCAUUAUUUUCGGUCAUCUUGAAUUUUCUUCGCACAAAAGAAGUUGACCUUAAAAAUGUAAACAUCGAAAGUCUCAAGCAUGAAGCGGAAUUUUAUGGCAUGAAGCCAUUAGUUCAGAAGUUAAGCCUGUGUGAGGAGCUAGAGGCAGCCUCGUGUGGUGACGUCCUCUUCCACGGCUGUCUGGGGCCGCCAUGUCCCCCGCUGCUCAUGAGGAGCAGAUCCCAGUCCACUGUGUGCCAGGAGAAUCCCCACCGAUCAGCCGCACAACAGAGGCAUUCCUCUGCAGAGACAACACAGAGUGGUUUCCGCCAGGAGGAGAACCACAGCUCACACAUGCGCCAGGCCAGCGUUGAUAUAUCGAGCCUGGAGCGACAGGGUUCAAGCUCCACCCUGACCCGCACUCCCUCCACACACAGUCUGUCUCGACUCACCCUGUCAGCAGAGGCGCGGUCUAUCUCACGACCUGUGCCAUAUGAGGCUCUCACCAGUAGACUUGCUAAUGCAACAAAAACUGCAGGCUUGCGGACUGAUCCACUAAGGGUAACCAUGUUACGUGGCCAUCACAACUGGAUAGCUGCAUCUUACCCACACUUUGUUUGCUGCUACAGAAUGAAGGACUCAACAGGCUGGCACCUGCUGUGGACCAGCGAGUACCAGGAGACCCCGAUAGAGCGCAUAGCAAUCAAUGCCAAGGUGAUGUCCGCCAACCAGGACAACUCCAACAAGAUGGUGGCGGCUGCUGCUGGCAGCAUGGUGCGACUGUGGUCCAUAUCGGAGGACGGAGGGAGCAGGGAGAUAGGUGUGUUCAACAUGCAUGUGCCGGUGGACUCGCUGUUCUUCAUUGGUAGUCAGCUGGUGGCACUGAGCAAACUGGGCAAGGUUGGAGUCUGGCACUCCAUGACUCAUAACUGGCAGAUCCAGGAUGUGGUGGCUAUAACUAGUUUUGACAAGGCAGGAUCUUUUCUAUUGCUGGGUUGUGAGAAUGGUUCAGUGUACUAUAUAGACAUGCAGAAGUUCCCCCUGCGAAUGAAGGACAAUGACCUCCUGGUGACGGAGUUGUACCGUGAUCCCCAGGGGGACAAGGUGACGGCCCUUAGUGUGUACCUCACACCAAAAACAAGGCAAUCUCCCAGACUUAGUGAGAAUCACACUGAAGGUUUGAGUGGCAACUGGAUAGAGAUUGCUUACGGCACAAGUUCCGGUACUGUUCGGGUGAUUGUUCAGCAUCCGGAGACUGUGGGACACGGACCGCAGCUCUUCCAGACAUUCACAGUCCACCGAUCACCUGUCACCAAGGUGAUGCUGUCAGAGAAGCAUUUAGUUUCAGUGUGUUCAGAGUACAACCAUGUACGUACAUGGAGCGUGACCCGUUUCCGGGGUAUGAUCUCAACUCAGCCUGGCUCCACCCCCCUCGCCUCCUUCAAAGUGAUCUCCCUUGAGGAAUACGACACUCACCAGAGCUACCAUGCUGGCAACGACUUUGGUCCUUUUGGAGAGCAAGAUGACCAGCAGGUGUUUGUACAGAAGGUUGUCCCAGAGACUGAUCAGCUCUUUAUACGCCUCUCAUCGUCUGGAAGGAGGGUGUGUGUGAUCAAGUCUGUGGACGGCACCACAAUCAGCGCGUUCCGAGUGCACGAGUGUGAGGGGUCAAGCAGGAUGGGGUCAAGGCCUCGCAGGUUUCUAUUCACUGGUCACACUAAUGGCGGCAUUCAGAUGUGGGACCUGACCACGGCACUUGACCUACUGAGUCCAGCUGAGGAAAAUACAGACAGGUGUCUGGGAGGGCCGACCCCCGGUGAACUGGUGAAGCUCCUGGAACAGUGCGACAUCUCCCAGUCCCAGAACUCCACCCCCUGUAUCAGCCCCUCACCCUCCAUUAUGGCUGGAUCCCUGCUCAGAUACACUUCAGAGUGCGGAUCUGGCCAGGAAAAUAGGUCAGAUCCGAGAGGGGAGGAGCAAGGGGCAGUAGGUGGAACAGAGCCAUCCCCUCAACCUCAGGUUACAUACCACCUGUAAAUUAGUGGAGGUUUGCCCUGCAUUUGGGCAGACAUUGCUUGGCUUAAACUAACAGACUGGUCACCAAAUGGUAAGAAAGAGAUGGGAAGUUAUUGGGUGUGAAUAGGUAUAAAUCCAGCGCAUGGAAGGGGACAGUUCCUUGAAAAGGGCUUCAUCCAUUCAUCUUGUGAUUGGGCUGUGAAAGGAAUUUCAACACAUGUGGUUUUAGUCACAUGAUCAUGACAGUCAAACACAUCUCACAAUUGAAGACACUCUUUUCUUUGUCAUUGUGUUGCACCAGUUGCAAAAUGAUUACAUAUUUCAAAUAAUAAAAGUCCCUAUGUAU